GUUCUUAUACAAUACGGUAAAAAAAAACUAAAGCAUGACAACUGUACCUUUAAUAUAUGAAAAUAAGAGAAGGAAAUGGACUUCAAAUAAGAACUCUUGCUAUAAUGAGCCAAGGCUGAAGCCUUCACAAAUGAGAGAGUGGAAUGGGCUGGAGAAUCGUGAUGAAAAAGGCUGAAAUUUAUGGAGUCUUAAGGCAUUUAUCAAGCUAAAGGAUCAUUAAUGAUAAUAGUGACAAUAAUUGUGUGAUGAAGAAGAGACAUGAGAGAAGAUAUCUAGUUGAAAAAUUGAAAGGAAACAUAAACCCUAAGGCAUGUGCUGAUGAUGAUGAUUUGAAUGUUGUGUUAAUGAUGAAAAGUCGAAGGAUUUUAU
rnacentral:lncRNA from 1 species